GAAAGCAGGGGAUCGUAAGACCUUGCGCUUUUGGAGUGGCCGAUGCCUGAUUAGCUAGUUGGUGGGGUAAGAGCCUACCAAGGCGACGAUCAGUAGUUGGUCUGAGAGGACGACCAGCCACACUGGGACUGAGACACGGCCCAGACUCCUACGGGAGGCAGCAGUGGGGAAUUUUGGACAAUGGGCGAAAGCCUGAUCCAGCAAUGCCGCGUGAGUGAAGAAGGCCUUCGGGUUGUAAAGCUCUUUCAGUCGAGAAGAAAAGGUUGCGACUAAUAAUCGCAACUUAUGACGGUAUCGACAGAAGAAGCACCGGCUAACUACGUGCCAGCAGCCGCGGUAAUACGUAGGGUGCGAGCGUUAAUCGGAAUUACUGGGCGUAAAGGGUGCGCAGGCGGCUCUGUAAGUCAG
rnacentral:rRNA from 1 species